CUUACAACUGUUACUCUUAAUUUGAGUUGCAUCUUCAACCAUGGAGUGUUUACGUCAACGAAACACAAGGCUUCUUUUAUAUCUCUUGAAUCCAAAGAAGAUAGCAAUAAAAUAUUGUUCUUACAAGGUCAGGUUCCUCCUAGAGUAACUCCUUUUGUCUUCUUCUUCCGGUCUUCAUGACCUUCAGGUGCGGUGGUCUCCGAUUGGUUCUUCCUUUCGCCGAGAUGAGUGGGGAGGGGGGUCACACUCCGACGAUCAAGUUAGUCUGAGUACAAUGUACAAGGGAUUCGAGAGAAAAAAAUUACCUUUGGCGUUGAGUCUCUUCUAAUAUUUAUACAUUUUGGAUGAGUCUCAACUAUGAUGGGCCUACUCGUGGGUCCAAAAGAGGGCUCAAUCAUGCCUUAAUCAUGAUUUACAACUAAACUUGCUUAAUUGCGAUUAAUUGUAAAUUUACAAACUGUGUUUGAAUUAAGAGAGUCAUUCGAUCUUCUCGACCAUUCGGCCAUAUCGGUCUUCUUAACUAUCCGGUAGUACAAAUAUGUCACUAGGAGUCCUGAAUCACAUGUUAUUACAAUCAUGAUGAAUUCUUUAGGUCAUUUGGUGUGAAGGAAAAUGUUAAAAUUAUAUAUUUUUCUAAAUAAUUUAUAUAGUGGUAGU
rnacentral:lncRNA from 1 species